rnacentral:rRNA from 1 species
CCGCGCCUAGCAGCAGGCGUAAACAUGCAGUCGAGCGGAUGAGGGAGCUUGCUCCUGGAUUCAGCGGCGGACGGGUGAGUAAUGCCUAGGAAUCUGCCUGGUAGUGGGGGAUAACGUCCGGAAACGGGCGCUAAUACCGCAUACGUCCUGAGGGAGAAAGUGGGGGAUCUUCGGACCUCACGCUAUCAGAUGAGCCUAGGUCGGAUUAGCUAGUUGGUGGGGUAAAGGCCUACCAAGGCGACGAUCCGUAACUGGUCUGAGAGGAUGAUCAGUCACACUGGAACUGAAACACGGUCCAGACUCCUACGGGAGGCAGCAGUGGGGAAUAUUGGACAAUGGGCGAAAGCCUGAUCCAGCCAUGCCGCGUGUGUGAAGAAGGUCUUCGGAUUGUAAAGCACUUUAAGUUGGGAGGAAGGGCAGUAAGUUAAUACCUUGCUGUUUUGACGUUACCAACAGAAUAAGCACCGGCUAACUUCGUGCCAGCAGCCGCGGUAAUACGAAGGGUGCAAGCGUUAAUCGGAAUUACUGGGCGUAAAGCGCGCGUAGGUGGUUCAGCAAGUUGGAUGUGAAAUCCCCGGGCUCAACCUGGGAACUGCAUCCAAAACUACUGAGCUAGAGUACGGUAGAGGGGUGGUGGAAUUUCCUGUGUAGCGGUGAAAUGCGUAGAUAUAGGGAAGGAACACCAGUGGCGAAGGCGACCACCUGGACUGAUACUGACACUGAGGUGCAAAAGCGUGGGGAGCAAACAGGAUUAGAUACCCUGGUAGUCCACGCCGUAAACGAUGUCACUAGCCGUUGGGAUCCUUGAGAUCUUAGUGCCGCAGCUAACGCGAUAAGUCGACCGCCUGGAGGAGUACGGCCACAAGGUUAA